rnacentral:rRNA from 1 species
GUGUCUGAUACGUGCGAGUCGAACGAUUUCUCUUUGAUGAUAGCUGCUUGCACCGAAAUUCGACAUGGAACGAGUGGCGGACGGGUGAGUAACACGUGGGUAACCUGCCCUUAAGUGGGGGAUAACAUUUGGAAACAGAUGCUAAUACCGCAUAAAUCCAAGAACCGCAUGGUUCUUGGCUGAAAGAUGGCGUAAGCUAUCGCUUUUGGAUGGACCCGCGGCGUAUUAGCUAAUUGGUGAGGUAAUGGCUCACCAAGGCGAUGAUACGUAGCCGAACUGAUAGGUUGAUCGGCCACAUUGGGACUGAGACACGGCCCAAACUCCUACGGGAGGCGGCAGUAGGGAAUCUUCCACAAUGGACGCAAGUCUGAUGGAGCAACGCCGCGUGAGUGAAUAAGGCUUUCGGGUCCUAAAACUCUGUUGUUGGAGAAAAAUGGUCGGCAGAGUAACUGUUGCCGGCGUGACGGUAUCCAACCACAAAGCCACGGCUAACUACGUGCCAGCAGCCGCGGUAAUACGUAGGUGGCAAGCGUUAUCCGGAUUUAUUGGGCGUAAAGCGAGCGCAGGCGGUUUUUUAAGUCUGAUGUGAAAGCCCUCGGCUUAACCGAGGAAGCGCAUCGGAAACUGGGAAACUUGAAUGCAGAAUAGGACUGUGGAACUCCAUGUGUAGCGGUGAAAUGCGUAGAUAUAUGGAAGUAGGCCAUUGGCGAUCGCGGCUGUCUGGUCAGUUUUUGACUCUGAAGCUCGA